CGGAGCGUAGUUCAGAUGGCUAGAACGCACGCUUUGGGAGCGUGAGGUCGCUGGUUCGAGUCCAGUCGCUCCGA
rnacentral:tRNA from 1 species